CUUUGCAGGUACAGUAAUUCAGAGUGCCUUGUUUGCCUGAACUCAGAGCAGCAGCGGAGAGAGACCGUGUGAUGAUUACAAACUCAUGUGGACCUGCUCAGGAACAUUCUGUUCAGAGUGCAGGACCCACUGGUUCGACCAUGACGAUCCCCAGGGAACGGAGACUACGAGGUUUAAUGUUCUAGUCUUUUAGGUGUGUGGGACACGGUGGCUGAGCAGUGAUAACCCAUCAGAUGAGGACGACCUGGAUUCCAUACCCCAGCUGCUGCAGAUGUUUCCUGGUCAAGUGUGUAGAAGCCCCAUCAGCAUCGAGGCCCAGACCAACUAUGGGAUAUCUGCUCAGCACACUGGAGACACCUUCCUCUCAUGAGCAGUUCCUCUAACCUUAACCCUAACCCUAGCUUCAUGUCCACAUCCUGGUUAAACACGAGCUUCAUGUCCACAUCCUGGUUAAUCCCUAACCCUAGCUUCAUGUCCACAUCCUGGGUCAACCCUAACCCUAGCUUCAUGUCCAAAUCCUGGCUCAACCCUAACCCUAGCUUCAUGUCCACAUCCUAGUUAAACCCUAGCUUCAUGUCCACAUCCUGUAACCUCAACCCUAACCCUCUCUUCAUGUCCACAUCCUGGCUCAGCCCUAACCCUAGCUUCAUGUCCACAUUCUGGUUAAACCCUAACCCUAGCUUCAUGUCCACAUCCUGGCUCAACCCUAACCCUCGCUUCAUGUCCACAUCCUGGCUCAACCCUAACCCUAGCUUCCUGUCCACAUUCUGGUUAAACCCUAACCCUAGCCUCAACCCUAACCCUAGCUUCAUGUCCACAUUCUGGUUAAACCCUAACCCUCGCCUCAACCCUAACCCUAGCUUCAUGUCCACAUUCUGGUUAAACCCUAGCUUCAUGUCCACAUUCUGGUUAAACCCUAACCCUAGCCUCAACCCUAACCCUAGCUUCAUGUCCACAUCCUGGUUAAACCCUAGCUUCAUGUCCACAUCCUGGUUAAACCCUAACUCUAACCCUAGCCUCAACCCUAACCCUAGCUUCAUGUCCACAUUCUGGUUAAACCC